rnacentral:rRNA from 1 species
UUCCGGUUGAUCCCGCCGGACCCGACUGCUAUUUGGGUGAGGAUAAGCCAUGCGAGUUGAAUGGGAAACCUAAAAAUCCCAUGGCAAACUGCUCAGUAACACAUGAUCAACUUACCCUAUAGAGGAAAAUAACCUCGGGAAACUGAGGAUAAUGUUCCAUAGUUGAAUUGGCUUGGAAAAGUUUUUCAAUAAAAGGGAUAAGGAAAAUGGUUCUUAUCUGCUAUAGGAUAGGAUCGUGCUCGAUUAUGGUUGUUGGUGAGGUAAAGGCUCACCAAGCCGAUAAUCGAUAGGGGCCGUGAGAGCGGGAGCCCCGAGAUGGGUACUGAGACAACGACCCAGGCCUUACGAGGCGCAGCAGGCGCGAAACCUCCGCAAUACACGAAAGUGUGACGGGGUUACCCAAAGUGUUCUAUUUAGAACUGUGGUAGGUGAGUAAUGUUCCCUACUAGAAAGGAGAGGGCAAGGCUGGUGCCAGCCGCCGCGGUAAAACCAGCUCUUCAAGUGGUCGGGAUAAUUAUUGGGCUUAAAGUGUCCGUAGCCGGUUUAGUAAGUUCCUGGUAAAAUCGGGUAGCUUAACUAUCUAUAUGCUAGGAAUACUGCUAUACUAGAGGGCGGGAGAGGUCUGAGGUACUACAGGGGUAGGGGUGAAAUCUUAUAAUCCUUGUAGGACCACCAGUGGCGAAGGCGUCAGACUGGAACGCGCCUGACGGUGAGGGACGAAAGCCAGGGGAGCGAACCGGAUUAGAUACCCGGGUAGUCCUGGCCGUAAACGAUGCAUACUAGGUGAUGGCACGGCCAUGAGCCGUGUCAGUGCCGUAGGGAAACCGUUAAGUGUGCCGCCUGGGAAGUACGGUCGCAAGGCUAAAACUUAAAGGAAUUGGCGGGGGAGCACCACAAGGGGUGAAGCCUGCGGUUCAAUUGGAUUCAACGCCGGAAUCACUAGUGCGGCC